rnacentral:rRNA from 1 species
CGCGUAGGCGGUCUAUUAAGUCAGGGGUGAAAUCCCGGAGCUCAACUCCGGAACUGCCCUUGAAACUGGCAGACUAGAAUCUUGGAGAGGCGAGUGGAAUUCCGAGUGUAGAGGUGAAAUUCGUAGAUAUUCGGAGGAACACCAGUGGCGAAGGCGACUCGCUGGACAAGUAUUGACGCUGAGGUGCGAAAGCGUGGGGAGCAAACA